GCUAAAAAACUUGGAUCAUGGCAGCAUUCUGAACUUUAUAUGGUCCCUGCUUGUCAGUGGUAACUCUUUUAUGCUUACCUGCUAAUGUGAAGUUGAAACUGUUGCUGUAUUUCAUACUAUUGGGAAAACUAUUAUUAGCUUUGCAUUUAUAGGUUCCAGAGUCAGUAGAGGAAUUGACAAAUAGAAAAAUCACAGCUGCUUCCCUCUCAUGCAUCAUCACUGGGGGAGAGAUACUUUGUUUUCCCUUGAAGAAUAUGUAAGUGAUGGGAAGAGAUCCAUUCUCGGAGAAACAAGACAGGGUCACGUUCUGGCCUUUCGUUGUUUGAGAGGUGGGUGAGCUCAGCACUGGUUUGGAAAUUGGCUCUGACAAAAGAAAACUGAAAAGGCUCAAUCACUGAGUACAGGACAAGCUCCAAGCAAGAUUCAGAGUUAAGCAGCAAAAUAGGGUGAGCAUCAAGGAUGGAGGGUUUGGUGAGCCAGGGCAGGGCAGCGCUGCUGACUCCUGAGGGAAUAACAGCCAUCUGCAGUAAAGGUCAGCUCCUCAGGCAAGACUGUGCCCCUAAAAUAAAGAGUGUUGGGAAGGUGCCCAGCCAGACAUACCUAUAAGGGUGAAGUUGAGGCUGUUGCUGUAUUUUCCAUCACUGGAGGUGUUGUGCUCAGCUUUGCAUUUGUAGGGACCCACGUCGCUGGCAGAGCUGAUAGUCAAGGUAAACAAUGCAGGGGUCGAGUCUGACCUGUUCAGAGAGGAUACCUGCUGGUUGUGUUUGAACAAGGUGUAUCUGACAGGUGGAGAUCCAGAGGCAGAGCAGCAGCAGAGGGUCACGUUCUGGUUCAUCACCACGUUCAAACUCCUCUGAACCAGUUCGAGCUUGGGGUUGGACAGGAUCCCUGGAAAGGAGAAACUUCUGAAAAACAUACUGAAUGAAAAGAAAAAUGCUAAAAAAAAUAUUAAAUCUGCCAGGACUCUUAUCUGGUUUUCGUCCCUUUUCAAACCUCUGUUGGUGUACACUGAGGUGUCUCUGAGGAGUAUCUGCCCCUCUGUGCAGUUUAACCAGCAGUUACAUGAGUGGCAGCACUGGCUGUGUGUGGGCACCUGCUGCAGGAGUGGACAGCGGUUAAAAAUGCCCUCGAGGAGCUGAGUCACUCACAAGCUGCUGGCACAAGGAAAGGUGGUCAAGGUGGUAUCACAGGCCACAAAAAUAAUGGAAUCAUAAAUUGAUUUCACAUCUCUGAAAGAAUGAAUUUCUCUCCUUUUAUCCAACUGAUGAGCUGAAUUUACUUCUUGGAUUUUGGUCAACACCAGCGGGAUUUUCCUCUCCACGACAAUGUCUGUCGAGGCUGGGCAGGAAUGUGACAGUGUAAUCAGCCUGUAAGAUCUUCUGGAAUGUACUUCUCUUGGGAACGACAUCUCCCAACAGCCUCAGGUUUUGGCACCGUUAAACCUUACUCCUGAGCUAGUUCAUCCUCAAAGCUGGCCUUCCACCCGAGUCUGAAACCAGCCUGGCUCUGAACUUGUCUCACACUCACUCUCUCCUUCCCUUGCUGGGCUCGGAGAAACCUUUGUCCCUCGUGGGAAAGACUGGUGUGGUUUUGCUGAGCUUUUUAUGUUGUGCUAAAUUCUUUUCUGGGGAAAGGGGGGAAGGGGAAAAUCUCCUUCCUUCCUAUUUUUUUGUUACCAAUAGCAAAAGUUGAUCUACCUUUGUUCUCCACCUGCCAUGUGUCCUCCUGCCCUUUUCCUUUACCUGUCCCUGGAGACCAUUGUUGGCCACCGGCCAAACCCCCAAUCCUUUGUUGGUGGUGUGUUUCCAAGAGCCUGGACUAAGCAGAACAAACACUGUUGGUAGUUAACAGCUUAGUCUUUAGUCAUUAAUUGCUGUGGCUAUUGUGCCAUUCUGUAAAACAGCCAGAGAGGUGCUUGUUCAUGACCGAUGCAUUGUUAAACAGAUGAGUGUUUUCCUUCUGUUUCCCUUUGCAAAAUGCCAUUCUUAUAUGUGUAAUACAAGCAUUGAAGUACACUUAUAGCUUUAAAAUAUUGAUUUUUUUGGGGGAAAAAUACAGUUUUCAUUGACCCCCAGGAGAAAAAAAAAAGGAUUUCAUAUAAGCGAAGCUCAUGAGAACUGUCUGUUUUAUAGAUUUCUGUGAACAUAUUUAGUGUUGUUUUACACAGUGUUUUAACAAGCUUGGAAUUAAAGGAAAGCAUUGACUCUGUCUACAAAGGAGAGAAAGAGAUUAAGAGCUGAACACUGAAUUUUCAAGAAUUACUAAAUCACUGCUUGGGGAGGUCUGGGACACACAACUCAAGAAACACUUUUUGAAGGGCAUGAUUUCAACUCACUUUGUCAAACUGAGUCAGUGUUCAGGAUGGGAAUGGCUUAAGUCUGGCUUAAAAGUGGGCUGAUACAGUGAGAAAGGAAUACCCUGAGCAACAGAGAAGUGUGCUGUAUUUCACAUUGUGCCAGUGCUGCUGCAGAUUUUUGCUGAGAACUGAAACUCCAACCGGUUCUUUUUCUUGUGGGGUGUAAGGUUUAUGCUUUUGCAGGCUUUGCACUGUCCUAACUACAUAAAAUAAAAUCUGGUGCAGAUCCAUGUUUCCGAUAUCUGAUGGUGAUAUGAGAGAUCUGCCUGUCCAUAUUCUGGACUCACACAACAGUAGCUCUGGUUUCUUAGAUAAUUCGAAUUUAUUGUGCACUC